rnacentral:rRNA from 1 species
UACAGAGGUGGCAAGCGUUGUUCGGAUUUACUGGGCGUAAGGCGCACGUAGGCGGAUCGAUCAGUCAGGGGUGAAAUCCCAGAGCUCAACUCUGGAACUGCCUUUGAUACUGUCGAUCUGGAGUAUGGAAGAGGUGAGUGGAAUUCCGAGUGUAGAGGUGAAAUUCGUAGAUAUUCGCAAGAACACCAGUGGCGAAGGCGGCUCACUGGCCCGGAACUGACGCUGAGGUGCGAAAGCGUGGGGAGCGAACAGG